CUCGGGGCGGCCCCAGACCCGCAGCGCUCCGCCCAAGCCCCGCAGGUCCCCGGUGAGCUCCCGGCAGCGAGCUGUGCUGCGGAACGGGCCGUGCUCCGGGCGGGACAGCGAGGGACCGGGCCCGGUGUGCGAGUGCCCGGCUCGGCUCCGGCUCCGGCUCCGGCUCCGGCUCUGCUCCGGCUCCGGCUCCGGCUCCGGCUCUGCUCCGGCUCCGGUCCGGCUCCGCUCCGGCUCCGCUCCGGCUCCGGCUCCGGCUCCGGCUCUGCUCCGGCUCCGGCUCCGGCUCCGGCUCCGGCUCCGGCUCCGCUCCGGCUCGGCUCCGGUCCGGUUCUGCUCCGGCUCCGGCUCCGCUCCGGCUCCGGCUCCGCUCCGGCUCCGCUCCGGCUCCGGCUCCAGUCCGGCCCCGACAGCCGCUGCUCCGCCGGAGUCAGCCCGAGGGAAGGGACCGGCUCAUCUGAAAAUGGGACAAGCUGGUGACAAUGGAGCAGAGAUCCACUUCACACCAGCUGGGGGCUGCUCACCACAGAAUGAGGCAUCCCACAAACUACUCGAGGAGACAAGAGUUUCAGCUGAGAAGAAGAUGUACAGUGUAAACUGACUCAUCAUAUGUUUCAAAAUGAAAGAGCAGUGUUGGCUAUUUGGAAUAUUUUAUGACAGGACAGUAUUAAUUUGUUGUUACAGCAUUAAUUGUUAUAGCUACUUCAGAGUUUCUGACUUUAAAGGGUUACUUAAUGCAAUUCUGGGAUCAAAUAGAUACUAGAAUCUAGUACUUACUUUCUAGCAAGCUGGAAUUACAGAAAGACCUAAUUUUCUGUUGCCUUGACUGAAGUACAGGCACUUAUUGAGUGAGCUAAAAAAAUGUGAAAUGUAAAUAACUUUACAUUUCUCUAAAUGACAGUGCAGCCAGGGUAGUAGGAGACACAGUCUAAAACUUUGAGCAUAGGGUUUCAUGUUGUUCUCUGCAAGUGAAUGUCCUGUAAUCUGAACUAAGUUUUUUUGGCUUUUUUCCCCUUUUAGUUUGCAGUUUCAAACAUCAAAAACUGCAACAUGCAGCACUGCUGAGGUUUAGCCCCAAGCAAGCAACCAGGUAUCACAUAGCCACCAACUCACUCCCCUACCAAUGGGAUCAGAAGAGAGAAUCAGAAGGGUAACAACUACCCUUGAAAACCCUUGAAUUGAAAUAAAGACAGUUUAAUUGGGAAAUCA
rnacentral:lncRNA from 1 species